GCCGGUUUAGCUUAGUGGUAGAGCGUUGCACUUGUAUACCAAGGGUCAAAAAGAUCAUACAAUGCAAAGGUCGGUUGUUCAAUCCAGCCAACCGGCA